CAGAUGUGAAAGCCCGGGGCUCAACCUCGGAAUUGCAUUUUGAAACUGGCAAACUAGAGUACUGUAGAGGGGGUAGAAUUUCAGGUGUAGCGGUGAAAUGCGUAGAGAUCUGAAGGAAUACCGGUGGCGAAGGCGGCCCCCUGGACAGAUACUGACACUCAGAUGCGAAAGCGUGGGGAGCAAACAGGAUUAGAUACCCUGGUAG
rnacentral:rRNA from 1 species